rnacentral:rRNA from 1 species
UACGGAGGGAGCUAGCGUUGUUCGGAAUUACUGGGCGUAAAGCGCACGUAGGCGGCUUUGUAAGUUAGAGGUGAAAGCCCGGAGCUCAACUCCGGAACUGCCUUUAAGACUGCAUCGCUUGAAUCCAGGAGAGGUGAGUGGAAUUCCGAGCGCAGAGGUGAAAUUCGUAGAUAUUCGGAAGAACACCAGUGGCGAAGGCGGCUCACUGGACUGGUAUUGACGCUGAGGUGCGAAAGCGUGGGGAGCAAACAGG